rnacentral:rRNA from 1 species
UACGUAGGUGGCAAGCGUUGUUCGGAAUUACUGGGCGUAAAGCGCGCGUAGGCGGACCUGCAAGUCGGGGGUGAAAGCCCGAGGCUCAACCUCGGAACUGCCUUCGAUACUGCGGGUCUCGAGUCCGGGAGAGGUGAGUGGAAUUCCUAGUGUAGAGGUGAAAAUUCGUAGAUAUUAGGAAGAACACCAGUGGCGAAGGCGGCUCACUGGCCCGGUACUGACGCUGAGGCGCGAAAGCGUGGGGAGCAAACAGGG